CGUAGGUGGCAAGCGUUGUCCGGAUUUACUGGGUGUAAAGGGUGCGCAGGCGGGCCAUUAAGUAGAAAGUGAAAGGUGGGGAGCUCAACUCCUACACUGCUUUCUAUACUGGUGGCCUUGAGUCUCGGAGAGGGAAGCGGAACGACACGUGUAGCGGUGAAAUGCGUUGAUAUGUGUCGGAACACCAAUGGCGAAAGCAGCUUCCUGGACGAGUACUGACGCUCAGGCACGAAAGCCAAGGUAGCAAACAGGAUU
rnacentral:rRNA from 1 species